ensembl:lncRNA
GCAGAGGAAGACACACAGCUCAGAAAGCCUACUCCCUGACUGCUUUUCCCCCCGCUGAAGAUGGAACCCUCCGAAAGAAGUUUGGUUCGGCAACCGGCAGAGCUUAAAGUUUGCAAAUAUCCUCUCAAGUGGAAGAAUUAUACACAGAGAUCUUUAAUGAGAAAACCAGCAACCAAAUGGAAUUAACUACUUGAUGGCCAUGAACCUCCCCCCCUCUACUGGGAAAACUGUGACAGAACAACUAAACAUGGCUGCCGGCCACCACGCGGGGAAAGCUGUAGGUGGUGCCUCACGCAGCACUCACCCAGAAACCGGAUCCAGAACACCUGGGCUGAACGAGGGACGCGCCCCACGGCACAGCCCCCGUGUCUUUAUUUUUAUUGUCUAUCUCCUAUAUUCCAGACCCACAAGGGAAGAUGUCUGUUUUGUUGACUGCUGGAUACUCAGGUGUUAAAUAAAUAUUUGUGGAAAACAGAAAAGAACGGGAAGAAGGGAAGUGGGGAGAAGUAUCUUCAGGGGUCCUCUCCCCAGAGCUCCGCACAUCAUGCUCUCUGUGACCCUGUUCACGUGAACCUACCAAGAGAAAGAAAGCCAUAGGGACCCAGAUCCCAGACAAACUCAACAUGCAGCCCUUGUGGUUUUGAAAAGAAUCUGUCACCAACAGUC